AUUAAAUGUCGGUAUUUGUGUUUGAUGGACUAAAACAGCAUUUUUCUCCCCUGAAAACAAAACUUUUCCAAAAUGUCCUCCAGGGUGUGUAAAUGUGAAAACGCCAGCUUGGUGUUGUAGUGUGUUCGGGUAAAAUGGGGAAAGCUUUGUAGAAACGCUGUCAUUUCACUGACAGAACAGAUGGUGGCAGUAUUUCAUUGGCAGAGGAAGAGGAAGAAAUAUAGCGACGGAACAACAAUGGCGGACGGCUUCAUCAGCACUUGAUGCAGAUACACAGAAGGCAGAGCAGAAUCAGCAGACCACCAGCCGCAAAGAUGGUGUAGAUCGCCCAUCGAGGCACUGCGGGAGACAACAUGGACCGCCAGUUAACAGAACUGGAAGAGCACAAACAAACACACAGCGUACUGAAGCUACUUGAAGCAAAGCUGAACAAACACCGCUGCUUCAGGAGGUUUGUCACUCAGUCAGUUUCUGUGUAAAUAUACUGAUGAAGAUUUUCAUCUCAAAGAAUAAUGAGCUCUUAAAUGGACUUGUGAGCA